GCGAAAUCCAAAAGGUUGGUGUCUCGACGCUUAACGGGUCGGGCCCUUCCGUCACCUCUCACACCUUUGUUGAACAGUCGGGGGUUGGUUAAUGCCUUCCCUCACCUUUUAAAACUCUAAAAGUCUCGGAAUGAAGUUAUGGUGAAAAACCAAAAAACA
rnacentral:misc_RNA from 1 species